AGAAGCGAUUGGGUAGGGGCUGGGCUAGAUAACACCACCCUCUACUUUUCCCUUCCUCACAAAGCAAACGCACGGGCCAUGUUCUCCAGCUCCACACGCAACCACUCCUCCGCGUCGCCGCCGCCUCUGCCUCACCCCGACUCCUUCCGCAGCAAUGGCCUACCUCAUCUCCCCUCCGCCGAUGUGGUGCUAGCCACCACCACCGAGCCCUAGCAGCAAAGGGAGCGGUGGCUUAUUCCACGCGUGCAGCGGCGACCCCGGGAGGAGCUCAAGCCGCAGCGAUGGUCCACCGCGCCGGCGCCGUCGUCGACCGGCAGUGGAGGAGCAGCAGCGGCCAACGGCAGAUCGGCGUGUCAUGGGAGCAGACACGGCGGCCGUCACGGGCAGAGCAGAGCGAAGUUGGCAUGGCGGCUAGGCGGUUGUCCGGACUGGAUCCCGCCAUCACCACCAGCCACCGCCUCGUUUGUCCGUGUCCAUCUCGGCGAAACCAAGGGUCUGCCUCGUGUCCUGCGAGGUGACACUCCACCGCCACCGCUCUGCUGCUUCCGCCCUACGCUUCGCUCCCUCCCGUGCCAUCCUCACCUCCGACAAAAAGGACCUCUUGGACGUCAUUGCACAUGCUGGCCUCUUCCGACCCCGUGGCCACCGUGAUCAGGUAAUUGAUUUUGUGUUCCUGGGUUCGGGUAAGAAGCUAGUGACCUGCUCCAAGGACAAGGUUAUCUGGGUUUGGGACCUCGACACACAACACUGCCUUCAAAUUGUAAGGUGUCCAUCACAUCAAGAUAUGGUCGAUGGAUGUUGAUUCUAGCGAGAAGUUUUUGAUGUCUGUCUCGGCCGAUCAAGAGUUGUGGGUGUUCAAAAUCAGGCAAUCAGCUGAACAGGGUGAAGAUUGGAACAAAUGGGAUGCACUUCAGCAUUGAUCUAUUGUGAUUCCUUUUCCCCUUUAAUAACGUGUACGUAUAGGGUAGUCAAGCGCCACAGGAUAUCAUCCUUUGUUGUGGAUGAGAAUGGGAUGAUCAAUCGGAUUGCCGGGGUAGUACAACAUUGAGUCAUUGGCAGUUGGGCUCAACAAGGACAAGGCGUUGUUCACCAUAGGGGUAUUAGGAACAGAGAAAAUACUCACACAAGGCAUGGAGCAGCUACAAACUUGUUAAUGUUAUACACGUCAGCAUUUUCUUCUUCCAGUAUCCCGUGAAUAUUAAAAAUGUUUGCUAACUAAUAGUCAUCACAGUAUCUGAUAUUCGUAGUUUUAUAUAUCAAUUGACAGGUUGAUGAUUUGUCAAAGGAAUUUUAUUGCAAAUUCCUGUAGGCCUGAAAAUGCACACUAUCAUAACAGAGUAAUGUGCAAGUACACAAUGUCAUAGUAGAAAAAUAGAAUUUUGACUGAUUAUUUAACAUCACUGUGAGCUUUCCUUUAAAUUUGUGCCUUUUGAUUUACCCCUGCUAUUGUAUAAGUAUGUGUAGGUUGAUUUUGCUUAUUGUGUGUUUUAUACAGAGAGCAGCUUCCCUUGCGCCGUCAUCCAUCCACCAACAAGCCCAUGACCAUGCAUCAGAGAAUGAAAAGCAUCUUUCACGCUGCCAACGGGAUCUGGACCAAUAAGAGGAUCAGGAGGACGAAUACAGUGGACACUACUACUCAGCAAGAUACAGUUCAAACCCUGUAUCCUCCUGAUUGAUCUCCCUUCGCCCCUGUUUAAGAAUCAUGUUUCACCCAUUCAGUGUUGUCUUCAGAAUUAUAGACACCUCAUUCUAUAAGGAGGCCGCCACCAAGAAGAGCGAGGUUGUGUCAAUGGACUCAGCGACAAGUUGUAGAAAGAAACAAGGCUUAUGUUAGGCAAAGUUGAUUAGGUUGUACUACACACCGAGUGCCUCCAUAAGAAUCUAGAUAAAAUGCCAUAAAAGACUGUUCUAGAUAAGAUGAUGGCUAUCAAUGUGAGCGACUGAGCUUUUAUGUCCAGAAAAUGCUCACUAAUAAAAUCUGGAAUGUCUUAUGUUUCUCAUCUUUUUUCUUCAUUUGUAUGGUUAAAGUUUGGCUUCAAACCAACAAAUAGUUAAUAUUAAAUUAAGCUAUUUUCCCGCUCCCCUCUUCAGUUGGCAAACCCAUCAAGGAAUUGUUGUAAUGAAUAUAUUUUAUAUGGUUACAUCCACAA